AACGAACGCUGGCGGCAGGCUUAACACAUGCAAGUCGAGCGCCCCGCAAGGGGAGCGGCAGACGGGUGAGUAACGCGUGGGAAUCUACCCAUCUCUACGGAAUAACGCAUGGAAACGUGUGCUAAUACCGUAUACGUCCUUCGGGAGAAAGAUUUAUCGGAGAUGGAUGAGCCCGCGUUGGAUUAGCUAGUUGGUGGGGUAAAGGCCUACCAAGGCGACGAUCCAUAGCUGGUCUGAGAGGAUGAUCAGCCACACUGGGACUGAGACACGGCCCAGACUCCUACGGGAGGCGGCAGUGGGGAAUAUUGGACAAUGGGCGCAAGCCUGAUCCAGCCAAGCCGCGUGAGUGAUGAAGGCCCUAGGGUUGUAAAGCUCUUUCACCGGUGAAGAUAAUGACGGUAACCGGAGAAGAAGCCCCGGCUAACUUCGUGCCAGCAGCCGCCGUAAAAC
rnacentral:rRNA from 1 species